AUUGAACGCUGGCGGCAUGCUUUACACAUGCAAGUCGAACGGCAGCACGGACUUCGGUCUGGUGGCGAGUGGCGAACGGGUGAGUAAUACAUCGGAACGUGCCCAGUUGUGGGGGAUAACUACUCGAAAGAGUAGCUAAUACCGCAUGAGAACUGAGGUUGAAAGCAGGGGAUCGUAAGACCUUGCGCAACUGGAGCGGCCGAUGGCAGAUUAGGUAGUUGGUGGGAUAAAAGCUUACCAAGCCGACGAUCUGUAGCUGGUCUGAGAGGACGACCAGCCACACUGGGACUGAGACACGGCCCAGACUCCUACGGGAGGCAGCAGUGGGGAAUUUUGGACAAUGGGCGAAAGCCUGAUCCAGCAAUGCCGCGUGAGUGAUGAAGGCCUUCGGGUCGUAAAGCUCUGUGGGGAGGGAAGAACAAGCACGUGGCUAAUAUCCACGGGCCCUGACGGUACCUCCUUAGCAAGCACCGGCUAACUCCGUGCCAGCCGCCGCCGUAAAAC
rnacentral:rRNA from 1 species